GCGAGCGUAGCUCAGUGGUAGAGCGCGACCUUGCCAAGGUCGAUGUCGAGGGUUCAACUCCCUUCGCUCGCUCCA
rnacentral:tRNA from 1 species